UGGGGAAUAUUGGACAAUGGGGGCAACCCUGAUCCAGCCAUGCCGCGUGAGUGAUGACGGCCUUAGGGUUGUAAAGCUCUUUCGCCGGUGAAGAUAAUGACGGUAACCGGUAAAGAAGCCCCGGCUAACUUCGUGCCAGCAGCCGCGGUAAUACGAAGGGGGCUAGCGUUGUUCGGAAUUACUGGGCGUAAAGCGCGCGUAGGCGGGCUGUUAAGUCAGGGGUGAAAUCCCGGGGCUCAACCUCGGAAUAGCCUCUGAUACUGGCAGCCUCGAGUCCGAGAGAGGUGAGUGGAACUCCGAGUGUAGAGGUGAAAUUCGUAGAUAUUCGGAAGAACACCAGUGGCGAAGGCGGCUCACUGGCUCGGUACUGACGCUGAGGUGCGAAAGCGUGGGGAGCAAACAGGAUUAGAUACCCCGGUAGUCC
rnacentral:rRNA from 1 species